rnacentral:rRNA from 1 species
GCUGCUGUGGAUUUCAACAGCUCAUCUGAAAUGCCUGAGUGUACCCCACUUUGUGGCGUAUUUGGUGUGAUACAUCUUCACCGGAGUUGAUCCUUUUGGGUCGCGUCUGUAUCAGUGUGGCUCUAUGCUUCCAACCGUCCUUGACAGGGACAAAUCCCUUGACAAUUUGACCUCAAAUCGGGUGGGACUACCCGCUGAACUUAAGCAUAUCAAUAAGCGGAGGAAAAGAAACUAACAAGGAUUCCCCUAGUAACGGCGAGUGAAGAGGGAAAAGCUCAAAUUUUGAAUCUGGUGUCUUUGACUCCCGAGUUGUAAUCUAGAGAAGUGUUUUCUGUGUCGGACCGUGCACAAGUUCCCUGGAAUGGGGCGUCAUAGAGGGUGAGAAUCCCGUAUAUGGCAUGGACUGCCGAUGCUCUGUGAUACACUCUCAACGAGUCGAGUUGUUUGGGAAUGCAGCUCAAAAUGGGUGGUAAAUUCCAUCUAAAGCUAAAUAUUGGCGAGAGACCGAUAGCGAACAAGUACCGUGAGGGAAAGAUGAAAAGCACUUUGGAAAGAGAGUGAAACAGUACGUGAAAUUGUUGAAAGGGAAGCGUUUGAAGUCAGUCAUGUCUGGUGGGAUUCAGCUGGGCUUCUGCCCAGUGUACUUUCCAUCUGACGGGUCAGCAUCAAUUUCGACCGAGGGAAAAAGAUGUGGGGAAUGUGGCUGUCUUUGGGCAGUGUUAUAGCCCCAUGUUGCAUGCCUCGGUUGGGAUUGAGGAAUGCAGCGCGCCUAUAGGCCAGGGGCUACCCGCCUCUUGACACGCUUAGGAUGCUGGCAUAAUGGCUUUAA